rnacentral:rRNA from 1 species
UACGUAGGUGGCAAGCGUUGUCCGGAAUUAUUGGGCGUAAAGAGCAUGUAGGCGGGAUUUUAAGUCUGUUGUUAAAAUGCGGGGCUCAACCCCGUAGUGCGAUGGAAACUGGAAUUCUUGAGUGCAGGAGAGGAAAGGGGAAUUCCCAGUGUAGCGGUGAAAUGCGUAGAUAUUGGGAGGAACACCAGUGGCGAAGGCGCCUUUCUGGACUGUGUCUGACGCUGAGAUGCGAAAGCUAGGGGAGCGAACGGG